AGAGGGGGAAAGGAAAGAGGCAGACGUUUGCCUUUUCUGGUGACUGCUGUAGCCUGGGAAAGAUUGCGCAGCAGCAGGAACUCUUUGUGCGCUAGUCGAGUUUGGGAUAAAGCAGCGGAAAGACAGGCUGGAAUGGUGUGAGAGGAAGGACUAUUUUCAGACCGUACAUUUAAAGGGCUAAUCGUCACUACUGCUAAGCGUGAAACCAUGGACGACGACUUUGAGCGGCGCAGAGAACUACGGAGGCAGAAGAGGGAGGAGAUGCGCCUGGAGGCUGAGCGGAUGGUGUACCAGGUUGGUAAUGACGACGAGGAGGAGGCUGCCAGGGAACGCCGGCGCAGGGCACGUCAGGAGCGAAUGAGAGGCAUGGAGGCCGAGGAUCCCAGUGAUGGGGUGUUGACUAACAGCCACAGUGUGAUUGAGACUGUGUCCGUGUCCUCCUCUUCUGUGGCGUCUUCGGGUGGAGUAGACGAUGAAGAGCAGGCCCUGCUUGAGCGCAUGGCCAAACGAGAAGAGCGCCGGCAGAGGAGAAUGAUGGACGCUCUGGAGAGAGAGAAGAGUCUCGACCCAUCCGUGGCCGAAGGAAGCUACGGCGCCAGGGACGGCCGUGUGGACGAGACGUCCGCCGGACCCCGAGGCCGUUACAGAGACAGCGAAGAAGAGGCGGAAGGGAGGAACAGCCAAAAGGAGGAGGCGGAGGAGGAGAGGGAGGUGGAGGAGGAAGCAGCCCCAGAGGAGGAAGUGGCUGAGCAGGAAGAGGAAGAAGCUGAGCAGGAAGAGGAAGUGGUGGUGGAAAAACCAAGACGAUCCUAUAUGAGAGAAGAGGAGUCCGUCGAAGAAAAGGAAGACACUGAAGAAAAAGCAGUGAUAACAAACCAGAUUGAGGAAUCAGUCAAUUGGAAGGCAGAGGUUGGAGAUGACUCUGAAUCAAAUGAUGAGGAAGAGGUAGAUGUGGCCCCAGAACAGUUAGAGGUGAAUGAGAAGCACAAUGGAGGUCUGCAUGAGGACACCUCUCCAAAGCACCAUAAGCCAGAGAGGACCCUGAGUCGCGGCAGCGUGCGCUCCCCUGAAACGGGAGCAGAGGAGCAGGACGCCGCGGCGCGCCUGGAGGCAGAGAGCAAGCUGGAGGAACUGAAGCGCCGCCGCGACGACGCGGAGACCGAGGAGUUUGAGCGGAUGAGGCGGAAGCAGCAGGAGGCCGAGCAAGAGCUGGAGGAGCUGAAGAAGAAGAGGGAGGAAAGGAGAAAGAUCCUAGAAGAGGAGGAGAAACAGCAGAAAGAAGAGGAGGCCAAGAGGAAGGCCAGAGAGGAGGAUGAGAAGAGGAGGAUGAAGGAGGAGAUCGAGAGGAGGAGGGCAGAGGCGGCGGAGAAGAGACAGCAUAUGGGCGUGGAGACUGUAGACGGGGAAGCCAAACCUUUUAAAUGCUUCAGCCCCCGUGGGUCCUCCCUCAAGAUUGGCGAAAGGGCAGAGUUUCUGAACAAGUCGGCCCAGAAAAGCGCAGUGAAGACGUCCCACACUCCCGUCGUCUCAAAGAUUGACAACAGACUGGAGCAGUACACUUCUGUUGCCCAGAGCAAGGAUGUGCGGUCUCCACGCUCCGGUGCAGUGGACCUGCCCAUGGUGACAGACGGGAUCCGCAACAUUAAGAGCAUGUGGGAGAAAGGCAGCGUGUUCAACUCGCCCGGGGGUGGCGGGGGCACGCACAAGGAAGCAGCUGGGAUGAAGAUAGGCGUGGCAGGCCGCAUCAACGACUGGCUGAAUAAAACCCCUGAGAGCAAAACGCCAGGAGGAAGGCCAACGGACCUGAAGCCAGGAGACGUGACCAACAAGAGAAGUCUGUGGGAAAACAAAGGCUCCUCCCCGGCCAAGAGCUCUGAAGAAGAGCUCUCUUAGCUAGUUGACUUCCGUGUUAACUAGUCUGGAAACCCUGGAGAGGUGACUGGCAGAGGGGAGACUAAAUCUGUCACCAACGGUAUGGGACACUAAUGACUCAAAGAGCUUCUAAAGGCUGGCGGGGACCAAGACAAUCCAAGACUCUUCCUUUUCUAUGUGUAUUAUACCAAAAAAUAAAAGACCACCACCCUGAGUGAGCCCAAGGAAUGGAGAGACAGGAGAUUCUAUUUAAUAAGCACUGUACUGAAACAAAUGGCCACCAUCGCGUAAUAUUGCAGAGCAGUGCCUUUGCACAAAGAUUCACUUUCAUUUACUUAAAACAAAUAAUGAAUAAUAUGCUGUGAAAUUUGGAAGUUUGACGAUAUGAUGGUUUUGUUUUAUAUUUUAUAUGCAAAAACUUGCGGACGAAGAAAAAAAAAAGAUUUAGAAAUUUGAUGUGUUUCCCUUGUGCUCCACACUACCUUGGUAGUUUUUAAACUGUGGAGCAACGUUACUUUUCUUUGAGGAGGUUUCCAAAGAGAUAUUUACCAUCAGUACUAUGUCUGCUCACUCCAUGUUGUCCAUCGAUCACUUAUUUUGUAUUUAUAUUUAAAGCAAGGCUUAACACAUAGCUAUUUUAUACAUGUUCACCAUUUCAGGAUAGAGAUUAUAAGCACCCUGUAGACUUAGCUUAUUUCACUUUGUGUCUUACCAGUAAUGCGUCAAUGGUCUGAGUUAAUGUAUGUUAGCACAUAAGUACAUGACGUUAUAAAUAUUAUACUGUAUCUUGUAUUACAGCUUUAUAUUCAAGAUUUGUUUUGCUUUUGUACUCUAAAAUGACUACCAACCGACAAGAGGCAAUUAAAGGAAGUGCAAGCAACUAAAGGAAAGUGAAAUAUCAAGACGGCCAUUAUAACGCUCAUUAUCUUUUCAUUUUAUUUAUGUUUUUUAUGGGUUUUGUCAUUAUUUUCUUUCUGUCUUGGCUGUUUUUGUAGCUUUUAUAUCUGCUGUUUGAGUCUCUAAUUCAUUUUGUUAAACAUUACAACAUUACCUUAUGGAACAGAUUUUAAACCAGUCUUACUAAUUCAUAUGUUAAACCAUCUCUAAAGGCUUCUGUUUAGGAGGUUAUUUAAAAACCUUAGCGUUGUCAGGGAAUUUGUCUGAGCAUGACGAUAAAAUAUAUAACCAGGUUUGGAAACGUACAGUAUGAUUGUCUUGUGCCUUGAAAUGGCAUCCAUUUAAGCCGUAUAUUUCCUUGCCAUUGAAGCUCAAAUGAUGUACAAACAAAAGCAAUGUGAAAGUGCAAAUUUAGAUAUUGACAUUGAUAGGGGACCAAGUCAAUCAGGAAAAGGAUUUUCUCUCUAUGAGACACUUGUUUGACACUUGUUCUGGGUUGGAUUUGUCUAAAAAUUACAUAGUGACAUCUAAUAUUGUGUUUAUGGCAUAUUUUCUUUUACAUACAAUGAUCCUAAGGUCUUAUUGCAGUAAACAGCAGCAAACAAAGGCACAGCAUAUACGGUAUUCACACUUUGCCAACUCAGUAUGACUUUAGCUGUUUCAGUUUUUAUUGAGGUUAUGUUUCACAUUUCAUUAUUAUAGACAUUUUGGCAGUUUUGCAUGACAUGCUUUGAUAAUAUGGGGAUUAUAGAAAGGCUGGCAGGGGCUUUGGGAUGUGCGAUUCCUUGACAAUGACAUUCCAUGACCUCGUCUGACCAAAAUAUAAUUGUUACAUUGCUGUUAUUUCAUAUUUUGGUAUUUUGCUUUUUUGUCAGUUUUUGUUAUUACAUUUUCAAACUAUAGGGUAUAGUUCAAACUAUGCAAGGCACACUUUGUAUUUUCUAGUUUUGGAUAAAACUUUCUCAUAGUAGUGGGUAGUUUCCUAAAGAACAAAUGAUAUAAACUGUACCGUUGACUCAACAACAGCAAUAAAAAGAUACAAACUGUU